rnacentral:rRNA from 1 species
UACGUAGGUGGCAAGCGUUGUCCGGAUUUAUUGGGCGUAAAGAGCUCGUAGGCGGUUCGGUAAGUCGGGUGUGAAACCUCCAGGCUCAACCUGGAGACGCCACCUGAUACUGCUGUGACUCGAGUCCGGUAGGGGAGCGUGGAAUUCCUGGUGUAGCGGUGAAAUGCGCAGAUAUCAGGAGGAACACCAGCGGCGAAGGCGGGUAGCUGGGCCAACACUGACGCUGAUGCGCGAAAGCUAGGGUAGCAAACGGG